rnacentral:lncRNA from 1 species
UCCUUGUCGUGUGGCCUCAGUCCUUCGCCGUCCCUCGCCGUCCUUCGCCAUCGCACGCCACCGCACCCCAUCUCUCGAAAUCUGCAGACAUCUUGAUUUUUCCCACGCUGUCUGUCAGGUCUCCGCCGCCACUCGACGCCAGGGCGCCGGGCCUUGUGGGCUGUGCUGCACCUCGGACGGCUUCGCACCAGCCAGCGCCCUCUCUCUCCUGCAGCACUCUGAUCUGCACCCCCUGAGGGGCUUCCACUGUCCGCGGGGUGAGAAUGCCCCUGGGAGUGUCACAUGACUGCCGCCCCAUGUGUGUGAGAGGCGUCCUCUGGGAGAGCAUGGAUCCUGAGGUCCCAGGAAAACAGGUGCCUGUGCCACAUUAUUUGCACGGAGAGACUGUGUCCAGUGAACGGUUCUGAUCAGUAAACUGUUGACUAGGAACAUCCCGAGAGCCAAGUUCCCAGAUGCCAGCCAAGGGCCAUCUGACCUGUUUUGAAUCUCAAUUUCCUGAUACAGAAAACAAAGGAUUGUCAGCUGACCUCUGUCCUGUGUGCCCAGUGGCCCCAGGUGACGUGUCUUCAAGAAGAGGCUGAGCUGCGGUGCUUGUAAGAUGGGUCUGCUGUGUGCAGAGGCUCCAUGGGAUGUGUUGUCUUCAUAGUAGCAGGGCGCUGGACCAUGGGUCCGCAAGGUCUCAGCCUUAGAUCCAAGGACAGUCCAAGGAAGUCCUAAGACCAUGGAGUUGGUGAUCUGGGAUCUGGGUUUGCUGAUAUUUCUCACCGUGAAUCUCUUGGUGGUGUUUGUGGGCACGAGAGGGGCAGAGAAUGGAGAGUGAGGCUACCACAUGAAGCGUCACCAGAGCUGCUCCCUGCUGCCUGCUCAGAGCACCCCGGAUCCACUGUUCAAUCUGCACAAGAUUCGGGGUCCAGACAUGGGAGACUUCAGCUGCCUCAGAGGACCGUGGACAGGGAAGGCCAGCCUCGCAUCCCUCUGUCCAUGCCUGGAAUGACUUUAAUAACCAAGAGUUUUAUUUUUGAAUUUGUAGCUGUCGUUCACUUUUUACCCACCCAUUCAAUAAACCUUACAGAAUUGC